rnacentral:rRNA from 1 species
AUUGAACGCUGGCGGCAGGCCUAACGCAUGCAAGUCGAGCGGAUGAAGGGAGCUUGCUCCUGGAUUCAGCGGCGGACGGGUGAGUAAUGCCUAGGAAUCUGCCUGGUAGUGGGGGAUAACGUCCGGAAACGGGCGCUAAUACCGCAUACGUCCUGAGGGAGAAAGUGGGGGAUCUUCGGACCUCACGCUAUCAGAUGAGCCUAGGUCGGACUAGCUAGUUGGUGGGGUAAAGGCCUACCAAGGCGACGAUCCGUAACUGGUCUGAGAGGAUGAUCAGUCACACUGGAACUGAGACACGGUCCAGACUCCUACGGGAGGCAGCAGUGGGGAAUAUUGGACAAUGGGCGAAAGCCUGAUCCAGCCAUGCCGCGUGUGUGAAGAAGGUCUUCGGAUUGUAAAGCACUUUAAGUUGGGAGGAAGGGCAGUAAGUUAAUACCUUGCUGUUUUGACGUUACCAACAGAAUAAGCACCGGCUAACUUCGUG